rnacentral:lncRNA from 1 species
UGCUUUGCCUCAGCUCCAGGGACUGCCUCAGACACAGACAGAGCCUGCAAAAGAGGCAGGAGAGUAAGCAGCGGUUUGGAACAGACAGGAACAGAACAAACUGUGGGCACCAUGGGACUUGGCAUCCAGAGGUGGGGACACUGUGGAGACAAGGAGCACUGUGGAUCUGCCCAGCCACCCAGCUGUGUGAGAUGAGCCCUUGUGGAAGCUCCAGGCCAUGCAAAGGGGACAAAGAAUCCUUUCCCCUUGGGACGUUUCCAGAGCUUCUUGGAUAAUCCCAUGGUUUGGGUGUCUGAAAUCCCUAUGGGAAGCCCAGCACUUCCAGAGUGACUGCUGGGAUUCUCAGAGCUUCCCAGAACCAGCUUUGAUUUGUGCGGCUAAGCUAUGGGUGACCAGCUGCAGAACACCCCUGGUUCCGGGCCAGCUCUCUGGGCAUGGCCAGCAAUGGUCCAUGGGGACCUCUCCAGGAACACUCAGUCCAAACGUGCUGGAGUCUGUUACUGUGCAUCUCUGGGCAUGAGCCUGUGUGUGGGUGUAAACGGACAAAUGAGCGUCUCCCCACGGCGAACCUCACUGUGUUGUCAUGUUGUGUCUUCACUUUUGUCCACUAGCAUGUGUGUGUGGGAGGGGACUCACGUCUAGAUAUGGGUAUAUAAUAAUAUGAGCAUACGACAUGUCAAAGCUCAUGUGAAAGAGGGUAGGUUGGGGUAUGUAGCUGUGUAGCCAUGUGUGUGCAUAUGGAUACACCCUCCUAGUGGUUCUCCACCCCGUUGUGGCUUACAGCUGCCUUAGAAAUUUCCCCUUUUGCUGCCUCAGGAUCCCUGGCAUGUUCCAAUGUAACCUGGGCCCUGCCUUGCAGAGACCGGCAGUUUGGUGCUCUGUUGGCCUGCCUUUGUUCCUGCAGGGUGCAGCUCCUGUCUGCUUUCCCUCGCCUCCCAUUGGUUUCUGUUCACCUCUCUUGCACCACCCCAAGCCUUGCUGACGUGCCCCUGGCCACAUUUGUAGGGAGCUAGCAACUAUUCGGUUUGGAGGCAGUUUUUGAGCCAAUGAAAGGUCAGUGCCCAGAAGUCCCUGGAGCUAUGGCAGGCUUGGAUCCACGAGUUUCUGCAACCCACAUCACCAUCUCCUUCUGACCCAAGCCUCUCCCUCCAGCCUAGGCAGGCACAGCUGGUGGUUGAGGGCCCUCCCUGUCUAGUCAUUCUGCCUUAGAUUGGUUCCCAGUUGAAAGCAGCAACACUCUCUGGCAUGCUGAGAGCCUCUCCUCUAGGUUUCUGGGGAUUUCACUCAUAGGUUCCACAUUACCCUGCAAAGCUGGGAGAACUAGGGACUACGGUGGCCAUUAAAACUUGUGAAUGUUUGGGGUUUAAUGGAGAAUAUUCUAAGCUGCUGGUGGGCUCUUAGGAGAGGAAUGGCACAUUCAAAGAGGCAGAUCUGGGAGAUGUUUCUGCAGCCUGGCAGGGAGAAGCAGCUCUUGGCACCAGCUCUAAGAGGCCUGGUGCAAUGCCACUCCCUCUGCAGCAGCACUCCUCCUGAGGCCUCGGGCUCCCCAUCCUCAGCAACCCCUGCUCAGGUCUCCCCAGUGUGUGACUGGCCCUUAAUGCUGCUCUUUGGCCAGAAGGGCUGAGGCAGAGUGCCUCCAGGUGGGGACUUUCUUAUGAUGAGGAAAAUGAUCAGAAAGUUCUAUGACCUUGGACAAAUUACUUAAGCUUUCCGUGCCUCGGUUUUUCAAACUGCAAAAUGGGAAUAGUAACCGUAUGUACCUCACAGGGUUGUGGUGAGAACUGAGUUACUCUGUGUAAAGCACUUGGAACAAUAUCUGGCUUGUAAGCACUCAAUAACUGUUUGCUACGAUUAGACUAUCCCACUGGUCAAGCUAGCCUUUUACCUGGGUCUGCUGGAUGGGGGAAGAAGGGAGGGACAAUGCCCUUCCAUCCCAGGAAAGGAUUCCCACUGACCUAGCAUUACAGAGUACAUGCAGGCUGCCUGGUGGACGCAGCCCUGAGCUGCCUUCCUGUCAAGGCAGGUGAGCACAUCCUGCCUCUCCCUGCUUUAAUAUCUCUGAAGUCUUUUCUUAAAGGUCAGCAGAGCAGAGAGACCCCUCUAGAAUUGGUCUCUUGUGAUAAGGCCAGAAGACCUAGACUCUAAAAAUAAACCUUAAUAAGAUUUUAAGUAAACACUUUCUCUACAACAAUUCAGAUCACGAUUCCUUUCCUCUCCUAGAGCAAUGUGACCUAUAGCGAAGCCCAUUCCCGUCGAGUUGAAAAUGUCAAAGGCUUCCAGAGUGCGACGUGAACUCAGAUAAGACUCGUUCUGCCUCUGGCCUGCCUUGCAGCCUUCGUGUAUGAGCCCCGGUCUCACCCCAGGGUGCACCGGGCGCUCCUGUCCACCCCACCCCCGCAGCCCACUGGGCCGGGUGAACCCCUGAGCCCCGCUGCAGUGUGUCCGCACUAGAGCCAAGCAGGAGAGGGAAAGGCGUCUGCAGUCCGGGUUUGCCCCAACGUGCUGCUCUCAGAGAGGAGGGAACCAGGGCCUGCUUAGAGAUUCAAUAACUUGCCCAAGGAAAUGCUGCUAGUAAGUACCUAAAUUGAUAUUUAAACCCAUUCUUUCAAUCAGUUAUUCAGUAAGCAUAUUUUCUAAAUUUUUCUUCUCAAAAUUUUUUUUAGAGACGGCUUUUUCCUUUGCUUCCCAGCCUGGAAUGCAGUGGCACAAUGAUAGCUCAUGGUAUCCUUGACUCCCUGCGCUCAAACGAUCCUCCUGACUCAGCUU